rnacentral:rRNA from 1 species
GAUGAACGCUGGCGGCGUGCCUAAUACAUGCAAGUCGAGCGAACAGACGAGGAGCUUGCUCCUCUGACGUUAGCGGCGGACGGGUGAGUAACACGUGGAUAACCUACCUAUAAGACUGGGAUAACUUCGGGAAACCGGAGCUAAUACCGGAUAAUAUAUUGAACCGCAUGGUUCAAUAGUGAAAGACGGUUUUGCUGUCACUUAUAGAUGGAUCCGCGCCGCAUUAGCUAGUUGGUAAGGUAACGGCUUACCAAGGCAACGAUGCGUAGCCGACCUGAGAGGGUGAUCGGCCACACUGGAACUGAGACUCGGUCCAGACUCCUACGGGAGGCAGCAGUAGGGAAUCUUCCGCAAUGGGCGAAAGCCUGACGGAGCAACGCCGCGUGAGUGAUGAAGGUCUUCGGAUCGUAAAACUCUGUUAUUAGGGAAGAACAAAUGUGUAAGUAACUAUGCACGUCUUGACGGUACCUAAUCAGAAAGCCACGGCUAACUACGU